rnacentral:rRNA from 1 species
UACGUAGGGUGCAGGCGUUAAUCGGAAUUACUGGGCGUAAAGCGUGCGUAGGUGGUUCGUUGUGUCUGUGGUGAAAGCCCCGGGCUUAACCUGGGAAUGGCCAUGGAAACUGGCGAGCUGGAGUCUGGCAGAGGGGGGUGGAAUUCCGCGUGUAGCAGUGAAAUGCGUAGAGAUGCGGAGGAACACCGAUGGCGAAGGCAGCCCCCUGGGCUAAGACUGACGCUGAGGCACGAAAGCGUGGGGAGCAAACAGG